GAGUGGCGGACGGGUGAGUAACACGUGGGUAACCUGCCCAGAAGCAGGGGAUAACACCUGGAAACAGAUGCUAAUACCGUAUAACAGAGAAAACCGCCUGGUUUUCUUUUAAAAGAUGGCUCUGCUAUCACUUCUGGAUGGACCCGCGGCGCAUUAGCUAGUUGGUGAGGUAACGGCUCACCAAGGCGAUGAUGCGUAGCCGACCUGAGAGGGUAAUCGGCCACAUUGGGACUGAGACACGGCCCAGACUCCUACGGGAGGCAGCAGUAGGGAAUCUUCCACAAUGGACGCAAGUCUGAUGGAGCAACGCCGCGUGAGUGAAGAAGGGUUUCGGCUCGUAAAGCUCUGUUGUUAAAGAAGAACGUGGGUGAGAGUAACUGUUCACCCAGUGACGGUAUUUAACCAGAAAGCCACGGCUAACUACGUGCCAGCAGCCGCGGUAAUAGGGUAGGUGGCAAGCGUUAUCCGGAUUUAUUGGGCGUAAAGCGAGCGCAGGCGGUCUUUUAAGUCUAAUGUGAAAGCCUUCGGCUCAACCGAAGAAGUGCAUUGGAAACUGGGAGACUUGAGUGCAGAAGAGGACAGUGGAACUCCAUGUGUAGCGGUGAAAUGCGUAGAUAUAUGGAAGAACACCAGUGGCGAAGGCGGCUGUCUGGUCUGUAACUGACGCUGAGGCUCGAAAGCAUGGGUAGCGAACAGGAUUAGAUACCCUGUUAGUACCCUGCUGUCAACGAUAAGAGUGAUUACUAAGUGUUGGAGGGUUUCCGCCCUUCAGUGCUGCAGCUAACGCAUUAAGUAAUCCGCCUGGGGAGUACGACCGCAAGGUUGAAACUCAAAGAAUUGACGGGGGCCGCACAAGCGUGGAGCAUGUGGUUAAUUCGAAGCUACGCGAAGAACUUACCAGGUCUUGACAUCUUCUGCCAACCUAAGAGAUUAGGCGUUCCCUUCGGGGACAGAAUGACAGGUGGUGCAUGGUUGUCGUCAGCUCGUGUCGUGAGAUGUUGGGUUAAGUCCCGCAACGAGCGCAACCCUUAUUACUAGUUGCCAGCAUUCAGUUGGGCACUCUAGUGAGACUGCCGGUGACAAACCGGAGGAAGGUGGGGACGACGUCAAAUCAUCAUGCCCCUUAUGACCUGGGCUACACACGUGCUACAAUGGAUGGUACAACGAGUCGCGAAACCGCGAGGUUUAGCUAAUCUCUUAAAACCAUUCUCAGUUCGGACUGUAGGCUGCAACUCGCCUACACGAAGUCGGAAUCGCUAGUAAUCGCGGAUCAGCAUGCCGCGGUGAAUACGUUCCCGGGCCUUGUACACACCGCCCGUCACACCAUGAGAGUU
rnacentral:rRNA from 1 species